GGCAUGCUAACACAUGCAAGUCGAACGAGGCCUUCGGGGUUUAGUGGCGCACGGGUGCGUAACGCGUGGGAAUCUGCCCUUUGGUUCGGAAUAACAGCUGGAAACGGCUGCUAAUACCGGAUGAUGACGAAAGUCCAAAGAUUUAUCGCCAGAGGAUGAGCCCGCGCUUGGAUUAGGUAGUUGGUGGGGUAAAGGCCUACCAAGCCGACGAUCCAUAGCUGGUCUGAGAGGAUGAUCAGCCACACUGGGGACUGAGACACGGGCCCAGACUCCUACGGGGAGGCAGCAGUGGGGAAUAUUGGACAAUGGGGCGCAAGCCUGAUCCAGCAAUGCCGCGUGAGUGAUGAAGGCCCUAGGGGUUGUAAAGCUCUUUUACCCGGGGAGAUAAUGACUGUACCCGGGAGGAAUAUGCCCCNGCUAACUCCGU
rnacentral:rRNA from 1 species